GUGGGGAAUUUUGGACAAUGGGCGCAAGCCUGAUCCAGCAAUGCCGCGUGUAGGAAGAAGGCCUUCGGGUUGUAAACUGCUUUUGUACGGAACGAAACGGUCCUGGUUAAUACCCGGGGCUAAUGACGGUACCGUAAGAAUAAGCACCGGCUAACUACGUGCCAGCAGCCGCGGUAAUACGUAGGGUGCAAGCGUUAAUCGGAAUUACUGGGCGUAAAGAGUGCGCAGGCGGUGCUGUAAGACAGGCGUGAAAUUCCCGGGCUUAACCUGGGAAUUGCGCUUGAGACUGCAGUGCUGGAGUGCGGCAGAGGGGGAUGGAAUUCCGCGUGUAGCAGUGAAAUGCGUAGAUAUGCGGAGGAACACCGAUGGCGAAGGCAAUCCCCUGGGCCUGCACUGACGCUCAUGCACGAAAGCGUGGGGAGCAAACAGGAUUAGAAACCCUAGUAGUCC
rnacentral:rRNA from 1 species